CCUACGGGUGGCAGAAGUGGGGAAUAUUGCACAAUGGGCGCAAGCCUGAUGCAGCCAUGCUGCGUGUGUGAAGAAGGCCUUCGGGUUGUAAAGCACUUUCAGCGGGGAGGAAGGCGGUGAGGUUAAUAACCUCAUCGAUUGACGUUACCCGCAGAAGAAGCACCGGCUAACUCCGUGCCAGCAGCCGCGGUAAUACGGAGGGUGCAAGCGUUAAUCGGAAUUACUGGGCGUAAAGCGCACGCAGGCGGUCUGUCAAGUCGGAUGUGAAAUCCCCGGGCUCAACCUGGGAACUGCAUUCGAAACUGGCAGGCUAGAGUCUUGUAGAGGGGGGUAGAAUUCCAGGUGUAGCGGUGAAAUGCGUAGAGAUCUGGAGGAAUACCGGUGGCGAAGGCGGCCCCCUGGACAAAGUCUGACGCUCAGGUGCGAAAGCGUGGGGAGCAAACAGGAUUAGAUACCCGGGUAGUC
rnacentral:rRNA from 1 species